rnacentral:rRNA from 1 species
UGCGGAGGAUGCGAGCGUUAUCCGGAUUUAUUGGGUUUAAAGGGUGCGCAGGCGGCACGGCAAGCCGGCGGUCAAAUCGCGGGGCUCAACCCCGCCCAGCCGUCGGAACUGCCGGGCUAGAGUGGGCGAGAAGUGCGCGGAAUGCGUGGUGUAGCGGUGAAAUGCAUAGAUAUCACGCAGAACUCCGAUUGCGAAGGCAGCGCACCGGCGCCCUACUGACGCUCAGGCACGAAAGCGUGGGUAUCGAACAGG